rnacentral:rRNA from 1 species
AUUUAACACUGGCGGCAGGCCUAACACAUGCAAUUCGAGCGGGUUUUUCGGACCUAGCUUCGUAUGGGUGUGUAAUGCGUAGGAAUCUACCCGUUAGAGGGGGAUACAAGUUGGAAACUACUGUUAAUACCGCAUAAUGUCUAGGGAACAAAGUGUGAGACCUUCGGGCCACAUGCUAUCGCAGGCGCCUACGUGUGAUUAGCUAGUUGGUGGGGUAAUGGCUCACAAAGGCGACGAUCCCUAGCUGGUUUGAGAGGAUGAUAAGCCACCACUGGAACUGAGACACGGUCCAGACUCCUACGGGAGGCAGGAGUGGGGAAUAUUGGACAAUGGGCGCAAGCCUGAUCCAGCGAUGCAGCGUGUGUGAAGAAGGCCUUCGGGUUGUAAAGCACUUUCAGUAGGGAGGAAGCGUUGUGUGUUAAUAGUACACAGCGUUGACGUUACCUACAGAAGAAGCACCGGCUAACUCUGUGCCAGCAGCCGCCGUAAGAC